rnacentral:rRNA from 1 species
GGGGAAUUUUGGACAAUGGGGGCAACCCUGAUCCAGCCAUUCCGCGUGAGUGAAGAAGGCCUUCGGGUUGUAAAGCUCUUUUGUCCGGAACGAAACGGUUGGCGUGAAUAGCGCCGACUACUGACGGUACAGGAAGAAUAAGCACCGGCUAACUCUGUGCCAGCAGCCGCGGUAAGACAGAGGCCCCAAGCGUUAGGCGGAAUCACUGGGCUUAAAGCAUGUGUAGGCGGAUCGUUAAGUGUCUUGUGAAAUCCCACGGCUCACCCGUGGAACUGCUGGGCAUACUGGCGAUCUUGGGCCAACUAGGGGCAGCCGGAACAAGCGGUGGAGCGGUGAAAUGCGUAGAUAUCGCUUGGAACGCCGAAGGUGAAAACAGGCUGCUGGGGUUGUGCCGACGCUGAGACACGAAAGCCAGGGGAGCAAA